rnacentral:rRNA from 1 species
AUUGAACGCUGGCGGCAUGCCUUACACAUGCAAGUCGAACGGCAGCACGGGGGCAACCCUGGUGGCGAGUGGCGAACGGGUGAGUAAUGCAUCGGAACGUGCCCUGAAGUGGGGGGAUAACGUAGCGAAAGUUACGCUAAUACCGCAUAUUCUGUGAGCAGGAAAGCAGGGGAUCGCAAGACCUUGCGCUUUAGGAGCGGCCGAUGUCGGAUUAGCUAGUUGGUGGGGUAAGAGCUCACCAAGGCGACGAUCCGUAGCGGGUCUGAGAGGAUGAUCCGCCACACUGGGACUGAGACACGGCCCAGACUCCUACGGGAGGCAGCAGUGGGGAAUUUUGGACAAUGGGCGCAAGCCUGAUCCAGCCAUGCCGCGUGAGUGAAGAAGGCCU